rnacentral:misc_RNA from 1 species
AUGAGUUUUGAACGAAGCUGUUCUGGUCUUUCGGGGCAAGUGAACGCUUCACUCAAUCCAUCUUACACCUGUGCACCUCUGGAGAAAACAAGGGGGAUUCAAAGUUGGAUGACGACGAUGACCUCUCAUGUUUUCUCUUCUACCAAAAAUUACAGUCUUUAGAAAGUCAUUUUUUGCUUGAUGCAAAUAAAUAAAUA